CCUACGGGCGGCAGCAGUGAGGAAUAUUGGUCAAUGGACGAGAGUCUGAACCAGCCAAGUAGCGUGAAGGAUGACUGCCCUAUGGGUUGUAAACUUCUUUUAUAAAAGAAUAAAACGAGGCACGUGUGCCUUUUUGCAUGUACUUUAUGAAUAAGGAUCGGCUAACUCCGUGCCAGCAGCCGCGGUAAUACGGAGGAUCCGAGCGUUAUCCGGAUUUAGUGGGUUUAAAGGGAGCGUAGAUGGGUUGUUAAGUCAGUUGUGAAAGUUUGCGGCUCAACCGUAAAAUUGCAAUUGAUACCGGCAGUCUUGAGUACAGUUGAGGUAGGCGGAAUUCGUGGUGUAGCGGUGAAAUGCUUAGAUAUCACGAAGAACCCCGAUUGCGAAGGCAGCUUACUAAACUGUGACUGACAUUGAUGCUCGAAAGUGUGGGUAUCAAACAGGAUUAGAUACCCCUGUAGUC
rnacentral:rRNA from 1 species